UACGAAGGGGGCUAGCGUUGUUCGGAUUUACUGGGCGUAAAGCGCACGUAGGCGGUUUGUUAAGUCAGGGGUGAAAUCCCACAGCUCAACUGUGGAACUGCCUUUGAUACUGGCAAGCUAGAGUCCGGAAGAGGUAAGUGGAACUCCUAGUGUAGAGGUGGAAUUCGUAGAUAUUAGGAAGAACACCAGUGGCGAAGGCGGCUUACUGGUCCGGUACUGACGCUGAGGUGCGAAAGCGUGGGGAGCAAACAGG
rnacentral:rRNA from 1 species